ensembl:snRNA U6 U6 spliceosomal RNA
GCUUGCUUCAUCAGCACAUACUAGAAUUGGAACGAUACAGAGAAGAUUAGUAUGGCCUCUGCGCAAGGAUGACAUGCAAAUUCGUAAAGCGCUCCAUAUUUUG